GUAAACAAACCCAGCGGCUGAAGGAUGGCGGGGAAGGGGACUCCUCUAUUUUUGCCUUUUGUCCUAUCUCCCCGAGGCGAACCCACUCAUCCCUCGGUCCUGGUCUUGGAGUCCUCUUCAUCUUCGUCGUUGAUGGUGGCAGCGCAGCCUUGGACUCGGCACACCCCCACAUCAUCACAGAAGGAGGGACAAACAGGUCCACUCUGGAUGUUGUGUGAGGAGACCCGGGAAGACCCACUCACCACCGCCACAGGAGAGUGACGUCAUACCAUACUACAGUCUUUCAUCAACCAGUAGCUGCAGCGUCAACCUCAAGAGAAGAGAAGGGUUGAGUCAGGUGGUAUUGUUCUCUUUCCUGGUGGUUAUUUUCUUAGUGUUUUUUUCUAUUUUCUGGUGGUUAUUUUCUCUUUUCUGUUUAUUUUUAUCUUUCCUGGUGGUUAUUUUCUUUCCCAGUGUUUUUUCAUCUUUCCUGGUCGUUCUUUUCUCUUUCCUGCUGGUUCUUUUAUUUUUUCUUCCAGAUGGUUUCCUCCCUUCCACCUCCAAACCUGUUGUUAGCAGUCUUUGUGUUUGAGAAUGUGUUGUUGAACUUCUACUAUUAUUACUACUAAACAACAACCACUACCAUUGCCAUUAUUACAGCUUGUGGUUCUGGUAUUUGAGAGUGAAGACAGCCCCUUCCUCAGUGCCUUCAUCCCCACCCUCCCUGGCAGCGACACCUCUCCACUUGCUGCUGUCAUAUGUAGAUGGCAUCCGCAGAUUGGGACAUCUAUCGUUCACACCUGUCGUCUCAUUACAGGUGAGGCUGCAGGUAUGCCUAACACCAUCUAGGGGAGCUUUAUAUGUGCUGAGUCAGGUGUGUUGUGCCUACUGUUAAAUAAACUCUCUACUAAUAUGACUCUCGUAAGUGACGUUGCUCUGCUUAACCCAGUAGGUGCAGGGAUCAUGUUUCUUACAGGCCUGUCUAAGCGAGAAAAAAUCAACACUCAUGCAAACCAUUUCAUAAAGUAUAUCAACGCAUUCGUGAUCAGCUUAUGCAUCAUCUUUUUUUUGGGGGGGGUUUAUAUCACAGCAAAAAUUCAGCCCGUCUCUGCUACCCGGUUUAACUUCUGAUAACGUGUACCUUAAAGCAACAAAGACCUCAGUUUGCUAGAUAAUAUAAUCUUAUAAAGUGUCUUUGCAUAGGAACCAAAUAUAGGUACUUUGGGACAGGUAAAUAAGGUUAGAAAUUUGUGGUAUCAAACACAGUCUCAUUAGUAAUCAUAUAUGCUUAAGAGGAACUGUAAUGACACCUUAAAAAAAUCUAGAUAUGUACACCACAGUGCUGGGAAUCAAACCUUGGCCUUCAGAAUGAGACAGGGCAAAAAAAUCUAGAUAUGUACACCACAGUGCUGGGAAUCAAACCUUGGCCUUCAGAAUGAGACAGGGCAGCAAUCCAACUGCCACAGAUGAUCCAAAACAGUAUGCCACUGCAGGUUGAUUAGAAGCCUUGCCAGGAUGGGCCAGGUCACCUUUCCUUCAUGGGCAGAGUGAGGGGUUGCAGUGGUUCAGUUGGUUUGCAACCCUGAUUUGAAAAUGUAAGGCCAGGGUUCAAAUACAUGUACUUUGUUGUGUACUUAUCAAGAUCUUUCACUCUGUUGUUGCAGUUUUGACAUUGUGUCUGUAGGCAAAUCCUUUUCACCAGAUAGUGUAGCAAGGCAGCAUUAAUGCCAAGCCUGGUGAGCAGUGUCAGGCAGAAGAAAAGUCUCAUGCCCCCCUUGGGUAUGUGUGCUGGGAGAGUCAGUGUGGGGUCAAGAAUGCAGUGCAUAACCAUUUCACAGCCUCCUGGUGUGAACAUGCCUUGACACCAUCCAUGCCUUGACACCAUCACAUAUCAUGGACUCUCCAAACAGUCACAACAGUGAGGAGCUCCUCCUCAGCUGCUAAAUAAGCAGCAGUGUCAGCAAGCCCCACCCAGAGAGCAUGUUAUAUAUAUAUACCCCAGUAGUUAGUCUCAAAAGAAACUCUUGUAGGAGCAAGAGUGAUUUUUCAAAUUUAAAUG